AGUGAACGCUGGCGGUAGGCCUAACACAUGCAAGUCGAACGGCAGCACAGUAAGAGCUUGCUCUUACGGGUGGCGAGUGGCGGACGGGUGAGGAAUACAUCGGAAUCUACUUUUUCGUGGGGGAUAACGUAGGGAAACUUACGCUAAUACCGCAUACGACCUACGGGUGAAAGCAGGGGAUCUUCGGACCUUGCGCGAUUGAAUGAGCCGAUGUCGGCUUAGCUAGUUGGCGGGGUAAGGGCCCACCAAGGCGACGAUCCGUAGCUGGUCUGAGAGGGUGAACGGCCAGAUGGGAACUGAGGCACGGUCCAGACUCCUACGGGAGGCAGCAGUGGGGAAUAUUGGACAAUGGGGGAAAGCCUGAUCCAGCGAUACCGGGUGGGUGAAGAAGGCCUUCGGGUUGUAAAGCCAUGUUGUUGGGAAGGAAAAGCAGCUGGUUAAUAGGCGGCUGUUCUGACGGUACCCGAAGAAUAAGCACCGGCUAACUUCGUG
rnacentral:rRNA from 1 species